CCUUGCCUCCGUCUCCAGCUCGCCACACGGGCCACAGCGCCAGCAGCCGGUGUCUGACUUUGUUUAGCUUCAGCCGUAGCCACACGGCGUCCAUGCUGGCUGAUCCUCAUUUUGAACAACGUGCUAAAGAAGUUUUCAGGCGCUCGCAUAAAAACCUACAACCGUCAACUAAAUGAAACAGAAAAUCAUCAAUAACCCUCAUAGCCUCACCAUUAUAAUGAAAAGGUUACUUGUUAGGUACCAGAAAUGAAAGAAAAUUUAAAGGCAAAUACUCACCUUGUAUUUUAAAGGUGACAUCUUCAACUCUAGUUACCUAUUUUACCGGCAUCAAGUGAACGUCUUCCGUCUGCUUAAAUCGAUGGAGGAAGACAUUGGCGAAGCAAAAAACGGUAUGGCGAUUGCGGCAUGUGCUGGAGUUGGAGAAGCGCUAGCUCACAUCACAUAUAAGCGAAACUCUGCGCCGACAAGGGGAGGCCAAUCAAAGCCAGAGUUUUGCAUUGCGGAGCUUUACUGAUGAAUUUGGUCAGUACCAAAAACUAGCAAAUGGCGGUCUCGGUGGUGGCCAACACGUUACCAAUUAAACAACAAUUGCCCCUUAUACAGCGAUACAUCCAAGCACAGACUGCGUGCAUGAAAAAGGUCAGUGGAUGCUUUGGACGUUUCGUCAUAAAUUAUAUCAGGAGUAGUAACGGGGGUACUAUUUUGUAUUAUCUGGGGAGAGCUUGAGCUACCGUGCGGCUGUUCCAUACGAAAUCGCUAGUACGCUCCGCUAUUUGACUUGUUUAGGAGCGUUAGUGUGCCAACAACUCAUCAAUUACUAGAGCACUAUUGCGGUCCGAAACAAUUUUAAAUACCGGAGUGUUAUAAUUUGGUAUGGAAUAGUCGCAACGCCAUCUAUGGAGCUUAACACGCGUAGCUCCAGGGGUUUUGCAGACGUUACUACUCUUGGUUCACUUCAAGGUUUCGUCGAAAAAAGUCAUUAAAGGAAUGUUAUGAUUUGUUUCCACAAUUGAAGGUUUAUUUAUUCUUGCCUCAUGAUUGUGCACACCGAUUGUUUAUCUUGAUGAGGACAAACUGUACCAAAAACACUCAUUUAAGUUCAUUCGAGGAGCGAUCUGAGGUACUAUGUUGCAGGUAGCCUAACAGGAUACAAUAUUGGAAAGGAACAUGUUAGAAUUAACCAUUUAACUAGCAGUCAAAACUACAGGACUACAGAAACAACGGAAACUGGUGGCCGAAUUUGUUGGUGUUAUUAAACUCAUGUUGAAAAUGUUUGGCAUAUCGCUGUUUCUCACUUAGCAGCAACAAACACUAGAUGAAGUAUCUGAAACGGAAUUCUACGUUCCAACGACCUUCUAGAUAACGUAGCUGGAUCAGCGUCGCAGCGGGUGAGUAGAGGAUUUGAUGGCUUCAAACAAGUUCAAGAACUCGCCACAGAAUUGGAAGCAGGCAGUCUAUUUGCCUGGCCAACGUUUUCCCAAUGGGCGUGGCCUUCCAAGUUCCCUCUCAUACCAGAUGCUCACCGAGACUCAGAAGCAGCGCCCGAUCGUAUCCGCCAACAUCUUGCUCAAGUUGCGACUGUCUUGCUGAUCUCGGCCAGAGUGUUUUUCGAUCGCAUAGAAAUGAAAGCAUUCUGUGAGGCCAAAACCAAAUCGAUGGGAUAACCUAAACUCCGUCUGAUUUUGUUACCUCACGUCGUGUAUGGGGAUUGGCCCAUGGACAAACCACUGGACAUUUCCCAAUAUGCCUUACCGAUCAUGGAUUGGGGGGAACUCAUAGUGGAGUCAUCGUCGAUGUUCAAACGAGAAUGUCACUCAUCCCCGUUGGUCCUGUCCGUUUGCUCUGUCAUAUCCCUUUGCUGAUCCUGGAGUACCUUUGUUACCAGCACAUUUUCGAAGUGACGCAGUGUCAAAGGUAAACUGGUGAUCUGUACGAGUGGCUGUUAUCGUUCUCUUUAAUUUCGAACGUGAAACACCCGAUAUCCUUACGGUUGAUGCGGAUGUUGACGUGUUUGACUUGGCUUUCAGAAUCGUCUAUGACCACCAACAAUCGGUCCCCGACAAAGCACGGAAGUAAUAGUUCUAUAGUGCAUUUAAGCAACUGUCGUACCAAACGGUGUGCAAGAAAUUGGAACAUUGCACUCAUUUCAAAGAAAUUUAUCAACUUGAAAAAACUUUCCUGGGAAAAGAAAUGCUGAAUGCACACAUCAUGUGUCCCAUGAAAUCUCUGAACAACUAGUUUACGUAGGUGAUUUGAAUCAGCCAUCCAAAAGCUGCAGUCGCCUUAAAGGUGUUUGGAUUGCUACCUUCUAAAGGCAAUCUAAUUUCAACGUCCAUCGAUUCAAGACCAUUAUGGAAGGUGAAUUUCCAUCGGUGGUCAAAGCGAUACGUUUACCGUCCAUCGUAAGGAAAUAGGUGCUAAAUUUCCCAAUUUCAACUGAAAAUGUCAGAGACAGCGUGGCUUCGUAGCAACCACUUAUUAUCAACUCCUGAUGCAAAGGGGGAAAAGUCCAAUUCUCAAAUGGGUGUGUGGUGUCCAGCCGAUUGCAGUCUCUAGACGAAGACGAUGUGGUGAAUUUCCAGACCUGCAAAGAAAACGAUAAUUGCACCAACCGAAAUGCAACAGACGAAAAAUAGCGGAUCGUGCUGCAGUGUCCAUCUUUGCAAUAGUUGCUGUUGGCGACGCCAUUAGGAAUAGGUAAAUAAACAACUUGAUAUUACAACUGUUUUAUGCACUACGUAGACCCGUUGGAAAUGUCGUUGCUUAAAGCCGCGUACGGAUUACAAAAUAGGCCUAUUUGAUGCGUUCCAAAUAAAACUCAUGCAUUUUGUUUUGUGACGCUGAAUACCUUAGACAUACUGCGCAUGACAACAUAUAUAUUAAAGUUUAUUCGCCAUGAUGACCAAUAUCACUAAAUCCUGAAUGUCAGAAAGUGAUUCGUCUUACUUCGUCUUCCACACGGUUAUAGAGCUUAUCUGUUUGGCUGAAGCAAACACAAACUUAACGUUCUGUCGGAUUGCUACGCGUUGGUUCUUCAAUUUGUGUGCAUAUUGCGCAGUAUUUAUUGACAAGUUGUUUACCUCAUCUUCGUUGCAAUUGCAUCAUGGAAUAGGAUUGUGUUGUCCAAACCUCACCUGGAUUACACAUGCCUCACAGGUGAAAUCAUCGUCUUGAACUCUUGACAAACAAAUGUUUGUUAUCAGUGUCAUCGUCAAGUCCACUCGGCCUACAAGUCCUGAACGGCUUUACGAACGUUUCCCAGGCCAUCUAGUGUUUGUCAGUGACGCCAUGUUGACGCUAAACAUUCUGGGAUCGGGCAAAAAUGGCGUUGUAUCGACUUAAGUUACCUCAUCACCGAAAAGAACAAACCAUGCUUCAAUGUUUAGUUUUUCAGUACUCGAACCACCCCCAUUUAACCCCCAACGUAUGGUGGGAUAUAUCAAAAAGUGUAUGAGGGGCAAUAGGCGCGACCUAUUAAAAAUUCAUUUUCCUACCGUGUCGUCAGGUAACUGAGGCCAGGUGGAAAUUCUGCAUCAGUUGCUGUGUGAUGCUUUCAGGACCGGACAGCUUGGCUGUCUGUGACUUGUUUCCUAGGUGCCGGAAUAGGAUUGAACAUACGCCGCUGCAUGUGGUCGACUGUUGCUGACUCGCCCUUCUCCGUGGUAGUGACGUGGAAAAUAAUACCGUGUCAUCUGUGCUCCUCCCCAUUACCUGCCUCGCCCUGCAUCGCCAUCACGUCCAGCAAUCUAAACAAGAAGACCAAUUACUCCACUCUCACUAUAGUCCAAGCCAAAUUUUACUUUGUCCAAUUCUGUAUGGCGAAUCGCAAGCCCAAUUGUUUAGCUGUUCUCGGCUAGGCUGUCUUUCGGUCGAUUGGUAAUAUUCCGCACCAAAUGAUAACCUUUUUCCAAAAUUUAAUUGAAUUUUUGUUUUUCU